GACGAACGCUGGCGGCGUGCUUAACACAUGCAAGUCGAACGGAAAGGCCCUGCUUUUGUGGGGUGCUCGAGUGGCGAACGGGUGAGUAACACGUGAGUAACCUGCCCUUGACUUUGGGAUAACUUCAGGAAACUGGGGCUAAUACCGGAUAGGAGCUCCUGCUGCAUGGUGGGGGUUGGAAAGUUUCGGCGGUUGGGGAUGGACUCGCGGCUUAUCAGCUUGUUGGUGGGGUAGUUGCUUACCAAGGCUUUGACGGGUAGCCGGCCUGAGAGGGUGACCGGCCAAAUUGGGACUGAGAGACGGCCCAGACGCCUACGGGAGGCAGCAGUGGGGAAUAUUGCACAAUGGGCGGAAGCCGGAUGCAGCAACGCCGCGUGCGGGAUGACGGCCUUCGGGUGGUAAACCGCUUUCGCCUGUGACGAAGCGUGAGUGACGGUAAUGGGGAAAGAAGCACCGGCUAACUACGU
rnacentral:rRNA from 1 species